UUCCGGUUGAUCCUGCCGGACCCCACUGCUAUCGGGAUAGGACUAAGACAUGCUAGUCAAGCGCUUUCUAGCUAAUGUGAGAGCGCGGCGUACAGCUCAGUAACACGUGGCCAACCUGCCCUUGGGACGGGAACACCCCCGGGAAACUGGGGUUAAUUCCCGAUAGGUGAAGAAGUCUGGAAUGACUCUUCGCUCAAAAGACGUUUAUGUCAUGCUCAUAUUCGUCGCCCAGGGAUGGGGCCGCGACCGAUCAGGUAGUUGGUGAGGCAAUGGCUCACCAAGCCUUUUACCGGUGCGGGCCGUGAGAGCGGGAGCCCGGAGAUGGGCACUGAGACAAGGGCCCAGGCCCCACGGGGCGCACAGUCGCGAAAAUUUUGCAAUACACGAAAGUGUGACAAGGCUAUCCCGAGUGCCAUCCGCUGAGGAAGGCUUUUACCCAGUAUAAAUAGCUGGGAGAAUAAGGAGAGGGCAAGUCUGGUGUCAGCCGCCGCGGUAAUACCAGCUCUCCGAGUAGUGUGGACGUUUAUUGGGCCUAAAGCAUCCGUAGCUUGCUAGAUAAGUCCUCUGUUAAAUCCACCGAUUCAAUCGUUGGAUUGCGGGGGAUACUGUUUGGCUAGGGGACGGGAGAGGUCGACGGUAUUUCCGGGGUAGGGGUGAAAUCCUAUAAUCCCGGGAGGACCACCAGUGGCGAAGGCUGUCGACUAGAACGCGCCCGACGGUGAGGGAUGAAAGCUGGGGGAGCGAACCGGAUUAGAUACCCGGGUAGUCCCAGCUGUAAACGAUGCAGGCUAGGUGUUUGGGCGGCCACGAGCCGCCCUAGUGCCGCAGGGAAGCUGUUAAGCCUGCCGCCUGGGGAGUACGGCCGCAAGGCUGAAACUUAAAGGAAUUGGCGGGGGAGCACCACAAGGGGUGAAGCUUGCGGUUUAAUUGGAAUCAACGCCGGU
rnacentral:rRNA from 1 species